UGCCAGCAGCCGCGGUAAUACGAGUGCCCCGAGCGUUAUCCGGAAUUAUUGGGCGUAAAGGGUCCGUAGGCGGUUUUAUUAGUCUUUUGUUAAAGCUCCCGGCUUAACUGGGAAAAAGCGAGAGAAACGGUAAGACUAGAGUGUGUGUGGGGUGUACGGAACUCACAGUGUAGGGGUGGAAUCCGUUGAUAUUGUGGGGAACACCAAAAGCGAGGGCAGUACACUAACACAUUUCUGACGCUAAGGGACGAAAGCGUGGGUCGCGAAUGGGAUUAGAUA
rnacentral:rRNA from 1 species